GCGCGAGAUACAGCAGGGAAUUGGGAGCCCAGUCUCCAUUCCCCAGCGGGAGAUAUGGAGACUGGGCUCCCAAUUCCCUGCUGUAUCUCCCGC